CCUACGGGGGGCAGCAGUGAGGAAUAUUGGUCAAUGGUCGGGAGACUGAACCAGCCAAGCCGCGUGAGGGAGGAAGGUACAGAGUAUCGUAAACCUCUUUUGUCAGGGAACAAAGACUGGGACGCGUCCCCGGAUGAGUGUACCUGAAGAAAAAGCAUCGGCUAACUCCGUGCCAGCAGCCGCGGUAAUACGGAGGAUGCGAGGGUUAUCCGGAUUUAUUGGGUUUAAGGGGUGCGCAGGCGGUCUGUUAAGUCAGCGGUCAAAGCCCGGGGCACAACCCCGGCCCGCCGUUGAAACUGGGAGGCUAGAGUUGGAGAGAAGUAUGCGGAAUGCGCGGUGUAGCGGUGAAAUGCAUAGAUAUCGCGCAGAACUCCGAUUGCGAAGGCAGCAUGCCGGAUCCACACUGACGCUGAGGCACGAAAGCGUGGGUAUCGAACAGGAUUAGAUACCCCGGUAGUC
rnacentral:rRNA from 1 species